ACUUCCCGUCGCCCCUGCGGAGGCAGGGGCCCAGCUAAGCUCACCGCGUCGACGCUAUUUCGCGCUAAGCCGCUGAGGUCAGAUGGGCCCCUGCCUCCGCAGGGGCGACGAUAGGU
rnacentral:pre_miRNA from 1 species